AUUGAACGCUGGCGGCGGGCCUAACACAUGCAAGUCGAACGAGUGGCGGACGGGUGAGUAAUGUCUGGGAAACUGCCUGAUGGAGGGGGAUAACUACUGGAAACGGUAGCUAAUACCGCAUACCAUCGGAUGUGCCCAGAUGGGAUUAGCUAGUAGGUGGGGUAAAGGCUCACCUAGGCGACGAUCCCUAGCUGGUCUGAGAGGAUGACCAGCCACACUGGAACUGAGACACGGGCCAGACUCCUACGGGAGGCAGCAGUGGGGAAUAUUGGACAAUGGGCGCAAGCCUGAUGCAGCCAUGCCGCGUGUAUGAAGAAGGCCUUCGGGUUGUAAAGGACUUUCGGCAGGGAGGCGGUACCUGCAGAAGAAGCACCGGCUAACUACGUGCCAGCAGCCGCGGUAAUAC
rnacentral:rRNA from 1 species